UUUAUAUUUUUAUCUUGCUAAAAAGUAAAUAAUAAAAAAAUAUAUUAUAUAUAUAAUUAUUUAUUUAUAUAUAUAAAUAUAAAUUAAAUAAAUUAUAUAAAUAUAAAAUAUAUGUAAUCGAGCUAUUAUCCAACCGAACACGAGCGAGCCGACCCUAACUUGUGUUCGGCUCGUUUACUAAACGAACGAUUCGAUCUCGAACUCAUUUC
rnacentral:lncRNA from 1 species